rnacentral:rRNA from 1 species
CAGUCGCCGCGGUAAUACGGAGGGUGCAAGCGUUAUCCGGAUUUAUUGGGUUUAAAGGGUCCGUAGGCGGAUCUGUAAGUCAGUGGUGAAAUCUCACAGCUUAACUGUGAAACUGCCAUUGAUACUGCAGGUCUUGAGUAAAUUUGAAGUGGCUGGAAUAAGUAGUGUAGCGGUGAAAUGCAUAGAUAUUACUUAGAACACCAAUUGCGAAGGCAGGUCACUAAGACUUAACUGACGCUGAUGGACGAAAGCGUGGGGAGCGAACAGGAUUAGAUACCCCGGUAGUCCCUGUCUCUUAUAC